GCAGUCGACGCGAAAGCCCCGCAAGGGGUUAGUAGAGUGGCAAACGGGUGAGUAACACGUGGGUGACCUGCCUCAGAGUGGGGGAUAACGACCCGAAAGGGUCGCUAAUACCGCAUAACAUCCUGCUUUUGGAUAAGUGGAGAUCAAAGCCGGGGAUCGCAAGACCUGGCGCUCAGAGAGGGGCCCGCGGCCGAUUAGCUAGUUGGUGAGGUAAUGGCUCACCAAGGCAACGAUCGGUAUCCGGCCUGAGAGGGCGGACGGACACACUGGGACUGAGACACGGCCCAGACUCCUACGGGAGGCAGCAGUGGGGAAUUGUUCGCAAUGGGCGCAAGCCUGACGACGCAACGCCGCGUGGAGGACGAAGAUCUUCGGGUCGUAAACUCCUUUCGAUCGGGAAGAACGUUUCCGGGGUGAAUAAUCCCGGAAAGUGACGGUACCGAGAGAAGAAGCCCCGGCUAACUCCGUGCCAGCAGCCGCGGUAAUACGGGGGGGGCAAGCGUUGUUCGGAAUUACUGGGCGUAAAGGGCUUGUAGGCGGCCAACUAAGUCCGACGUGAAAUCCCCAGGCUUAACCUGGGAACUGCGUCGGAUACUGGAUGGCUUGAAUUCGGGAGAGGGAUGCAGAAUUCCAGGUGUAGCGGUGAAAUGCGUAGAUA
rnacentral:rRNA from 1 species